rnacentral:rRNA from 1 species
CCUAUGAGUCGUUUAAAUGGCCGCAGUAUUUUGACUGUGCAAAGGUAGCAUAAUCACUUGCCCUUUAAUUAGGGGCUGGAAUGAAGGAGGCGACGAGAUCUAGGCUAUUUAGAUUCUUACAGAAAUUGACAGGCGGGUCAAAAGGCCCGCGUGCACCAAAGGGACGAUAAGACCCUAUAAAACUUUACUUUUAGUGGGGGGUCCGACAGGCCGGCCAUACGCUUGAGAGUUCGACUGGGGCGGUAGUUAUAAAAACAAUGAUAUAUAAAAUAUAUUAAAUAGUGUGUUAGAGCUCUUUAAGAAAUAGAACAAGUUACUUUAGGGAUAACAGCGUAAUUCCCCCAGAGAGU